rnacentral:rRNA from 1 species
UGGCGGCACUAGCGCGGUGGUCCCACCUGACCCCAUGCCGAACUCAGAAGUGAAACGCAAAAAAAAAAGAAGGAACGUUGAAGACGACGACGUUGAUAGGCC